AUAGAUAGUGAGUAGCAUAGCCAAUCAGAGAAUAUCAUUCGUGAUAGAACGGUAGUAGAUUUAUACUAAUAAAAAUCAUACUGUGGCCAGCAUUGAAACUUCUGUUCCCCAGUUUCUAUGUUGAUAAAAAAAUGUUGCUGACUGGCAAAUGAAUAUUCACCAUAGAAUUGAGAGGUGAAGGUGCUUGGAUUGAGCAAACAUUCUUAGCAUCCUGUGCUUAACUCUGCGCUCAGCAGAACUUCCCUUGUCAAAACCUCUCUGUGGAGGAGACAGUCACUAGGGGAUAACACCCACCUCUCCACAACCCCCAACAUGCUGUACUGAUCCCACCUCAGUGUUAGCUUGUCUGCCAGGUUACAGGCAAGAGCAGUUCCUUUGUUAGUUCAGGUAGAAAAGAUUUUCCAACUCUGUGGUGAUACCAAUAUCCGGGAGUGCUCCCCAAUAUGAGCUGUAUUUCAAUGUGCCUGCCCAAAGGGGUGACUUCUGAACAAUCUUCUUCAGUACUAGUGUUGUGGAUUGUGUGAAAUAAGUUACAGAUCUCAAAAGAUCAGAAUACGGUACAGAUUUUACAGGUGAAGUCUGAAAUAUAAAUAGGAUGUGAAAAAUAAUAUAUUUUGGCUUGCAUGGAGGAGAAUGAUUCGAAAAUCAGGCAGCAUGCCCAAAGCUUAAAUUCCUAGGAUGAAUUCCCCCUUUCCCCUUCCUUUGAGUGCAAAUGUUGUUAGUCCAUUUACUUUUUGUUGGUCUGUUCCUUAACUAUUGUAUGCAACAGGUCAAAGGCAUCUCAGCAUGCCAAUCUUUAUUCAAAUAAAGUGUUGAAAAUCCUAGCCUAGUGUUUGCAUUACCACUUUCAAACUAGUCACAAGUUACCACAUUCCAUUUAGAAGUGAUUUUCAUUUGAUGCAAGGGAAAAGUUUCAUUUGCACAUAAGAAGUCUUACUCCAACCUGAUUACCACAAUUGUUUUGACAUGACACAAUCCUCGAUCAAGCAUGAAAUAUAUACUGAGCGAAUACAAGAUGCAAUGCAAAGUUUUCCUAUCCUCGUGAUGGUGUUUGCUGUGAGCAAAUUUUCACAAUAAAUUGUACUGAUUUCUCA